rnacentral:misc_RNA from 1 species
UGCGGCAUCACCUCCUUUCUAAGGAUGGCUCUUCAGAAGCUUGCUUCUAUCGAGCUGUUUUAGAAACAUCAGGGGCCAACAGAUCGCCAGAUCGUUGAGCUCCAUUGGCGGGAUUUCGCCGUCUACGUUUCUCUUUCUACGCGGACGAACACGCGCUGGGCCUGCAACGGCAGGCUCCAGGGUCCUUAACGGGAUAUGCGUUAGGGGCUUGUAGCUCAGUUGGUUAGAGCGCGCGCUUGAUAAGCGUGAGGUCGGAAGUUCAAGUCUUCCCAGGCCCACCACACUCAUCGAGUGAGCAUUCGUCUUCUGGUUACGGGGCCAUAGCUCAGCUGGGAGAGCGCGUGCUUUGCGAGCAUGAGGUCGUCGGUUCGAUCCCGUCUGGCUCCACCAGAUGGUUUGAUCACCGAGAUCUUGUACCGUCGUCCGCGAAACAUCACUUCGCAUCCUGCUAGUCUGGAUAGACAGCAAGAUGCGUGUUUUCUGACAUCGUAAAGAGGAGAUCGAUCCGAGUUGGGUCGUGCAGCAGAUUGUUGCGCGGAUCCUUCAUUAUCUCCGGAUCAUUUUCGGCGCUCGUCGCUGACCGCAAGGUUGGCAGCGAGUUGUAAAAUGAUCCUUUUAGCGAAGCUUGACCGCCUCGCUAUCGGAACGAUCUUACGAAGCAAGCUGGUCUUUCUAAUCAUUGUCCGGCUGUACGUAGCGUUCAUCGAGGGCGCGCGCCUUAGAGAUUUCGAUCUCUUGGCGAUCGUACAGACAACAUUCUGCCGAGUGUGUGGACAUUGAUAAUGAGAGCAAUCAAGUGCCUUAAGGGUGUUCGGUGGAUGCCUUGGCGCUGAGAGGCGAUGAAGGACGUGCUACGCUGCGAUAAGCCGUGGGGAGCUGCGAAGAAGCUUUGAUCCGCGGAUUUCCGAAUGGGGAAACCCGG